AUACCUUUCUCGGCCUUUUGGCUAAGAUCAAGUGUAGUAUCUGUUCUUAUCAGUUUAAUAUCUGAUACGUGAGCUAAUGGCUCACACGAUAUUAAAUUAAUUUUUUUAAGGGGAAAGUUCACUGCAAUAGCUUGCUAUUAGAACUUUCAGGCGUCACUUUUGCGUUGCACUACGGCAUUGGCCUGGCGCACCCUCC